UCUCCACCUUUGUCUUCGAUUCAGCUAAACUUCAUUUCUAUCGCCUACCAAUCUUCCUCAAAUCUUCAAUCAACCUUGAGAUUCAUUUUUUUUUUUUUGAUCAAUCUGUUCUGAUGCUUCUUUUCCCUUUAUGUGGAUCUCUAGUCACUAUCGCCUCUGUCUCCUUUACCGUCGUCAAGAUCCGACUUCUGAUCUUUGGUGUUGCUCAUGAUAAACACCUUUGUGAGCUGUUCAGCCUCUUCCGUUUAACCACGGGGACUCAUUUCUACUUUUUUCACCACUGGAGAUAUUAGACUCGCACAAUCACUCCCGUCAUUAACGCCACACGCACAGACUCAGUUGCUGAAAGAGAUUUAGAUUUCUUGAUGAACGGCUUCAAUGCCAGGUAAUUAACUCCACCUCGAAUUUGACCAUUCGAACACUGCUCAAAACACAGUCUUGAUAAACCUUCAGAUUUUACCAUCUGAAUUAUCCUUCUCUGUCGAUUUCCUAUUACCAAUACUGAUGCACCUCAAUAUUUGUUUUCGGUCCAUGACGAGAUACUCAAACCGACGAAGAGUAACCUCUGGACCCCUUUGCUGACUUAUGCUGAGACAUUUAGAAGCGCCAAGCACUUCUCAAAGCUGUUUCCAGAUUCCUUGAGUUCAACUUCCUUAGCAUACGCGGAUGAGACUUGACAGCACCUGCACCGCUUGGUCUUCGUCACUCACUGAGAUGCUCAGACUCUCCAAAUCAUCAACUAAUCUGAGAAACACAUCUAGUUAACUCUCCAGGAGAUAGCACUGGUUUUGACUCUGUUCCAUCAUCCUUAAGUGCACCCUUUUCAGACGAUGAGCUUGACUUAUCCCCCACGAGGACACUGUCCAAUCCCGAAUUUUCAAGCUGCAUUUGCAUCUUGAAUUUCCACAUUCCGAAGUCUCCUUUACCAUCAAACUUUUCCACAUCAAUUUUGAUUCGAGUGGGUUUCAUGGUUACACACCGGAUCUUCCUUAUGUGUUCACACCAACUGCAGAUCUGAAACUGUAAACCGUGUUCUCUGCAAUAGCCUGAAGCUCUGAUACCACUUGUGAGGAACCAGAGAAGAGAUAUCACCAACGACAGAUGACACUAACACAGCCAAGCAACACAACCUGAUCAGAACUUUGAGUAUAUUUUUAUAGGACAAAGAAGCUUCUGGGGUGGGCUGAUCAUAAGGCUGACAAAACCUAGGCCUUUAUGGGGUUGUCGUAUGGGCCUUAGUUUAUAUUUGUGGCCCAUAUGUCCUGGCCCUAGAAGAGUUCGACCUUGUGUCUGAAUUGAGACAACAGACC